UGAGGAACAUGACCUUCGGCGGGGGAUAGCCGGCCCAACGGCCGGGUAAUACCGCGUACGACCACUUGGGGACAUCCCUGAGUGGUGAAAGCAGCAAUGCGCCGAUGGAGUGCCUCGCGGCCUAUCAGCUAGUUGGUGAGGUAACGGCUCACCAAGGCGACGACGGGUAGCUGGUCUGAGAGGAUGGCCAGCCACAUUGGGACUGAGACACGGCCCAGCUCCUAGGGACGG
rnacentral:rRNA from 1 species